UACGUAGGGUGCGAGCGUUAAUCGGAAUUACUGGGCGUAAAGCGUGCGCAAGCGGUUUUGUAAGCCAGGUGUGAAAUCCCCGAGCUCAACCUGGGAAUGGCAUUUGGGACUGCAAGGCUGGAGUGCGGCAGAGGAGACUGGAAUUCCUGGUGUGGCAGUGAAAUGCGUAGAUAUCAGGAGGAACACCGAUGGCGAAGGCAG
rnacentral:rRNA from 1 species